AACACAUGCAAGUCGAACGGUGACCUCGGAGCUUGCUCCGGCGAUCAGUGGCGAACGGGUGAGUAACACGUGAGUAACCUGCCCCUGGCUCUGGGAUAACCCCGGGAAACCGAGGCUAAUACCGGAUAUGACACAGACAGGCAUCUGUACUGUGUGGAAAGUUUUUUCGGCUAGGGAUGGACUCGCGGCCUAUCAGCUUGUUGGUGAGGUAACGGCCCACCAAGGCGACGACGGGUAGCCGGCCUGAGAGGGCGACCGGCCACACUGGGACUGAGACACGGCCCAGACUCCUACGGGAGGCAGCAGUGGGGAAUAUUGCGCAAUGGGCGAAAGCCUGACGCAGCGACGCCGCGUGAGGGAUGAAGGCCUUCGGGUUGUAAACCUCUUUCAGCAGGGAAGAAGCGAAAGUGACGGUACCUGCAGAAGAAG
rnacentral:rRNA from 1 species